rnacentral:rRNA from 1 species
AGUGCGAUCGGUGGAUGCCUUGGCACCAAGAGCCGAUGAAGGACGUUGUAACCUGCGAUAAGCCCUGGGGAGUUGGUAAACGAGCUGUGAUCCGGGGGUGUCCGAAUGGGGAAACCUGGAAUGUCCGGAGUAGUGUCCGGUGACCCUGCCCUGAAUGUAUAGGGGUGUGGGAGGUAACGCGGGGAAGUGAAACAUCUUAGUACCCGUAGGAAGAGAAAACAACCGUGAUUCCGUGAGUAGUGGCGAGCGAAAGUGGAUGAGGCUAAACCGUGUGUGUGUUCAAGCCGGCAGGUGUUGCAUGUGCGGGGUUGUGGGGGCCUUUGGGUUCUGCUGCCGCAGGAUUGGCCAGUGAUAAAUGUUGCGUGAAGGUGAAGCGUCUGGGAAGGCGUACCGGAGUGGGUGAGAGUCCCGUAACUGUAAGCGUGGCACUGGUGAGGGUUACCCCAAGUAGCGUGGAACUCGUGGAAUUUCGCGUGAAUCUGGCGGGACCACCCGUCAAGCCUAAAUACUCCUUGGUGACCGAUAGUGGAUCAGUACCGUGAGGGAAUGGUGAAAAGUACCCCGGGAGGGGAGUGAAAUAGUACCUGAAACCGGUCGCAUACAAGCCGUCAGAGCCUUGUGGGGUGAUGGCGUGCCUUUUGAAGAAUGAGCCUGCGAGUUAGUGAUGCGUGGCGAGGUUAACCUGUGUGGGGGAGUCGUAGCGAAAGCGAGUCCGAUAAGGGCGUGAGUCGCGUGUUCUAGACCCGAAGCGGUGUGAUCUAUCCAUGGCCAGGAUGAAGCGUCGGUAAGACGUCGUGGAGGUCCGAACCCACUUCAGUUGAAAAUGGAGGGGAUGAGCUGUGGAUAGGGGUGAAAGGCCAAUCAAACACCGUGAUAGCUGGUUCUCCCCGAAAUGCAUUUAGGUGCAGCGUUGCGUGGUUCUUGUCGGAGGUAGAGCACUGGAUGGUCUAGGGGGCCUAUCAGCUUACCGAAAUCAGCCAAACUCCGAAUGCCGGCAAGUGGAGCGUAGCAGUGAGACGGCGGGGGAUAAGCUUCGUCGUCGAGAGGGAAACAGCCCAGAUCAUCAGCUAAGGCCCCUAAGUGGUAACUCAGUGGAAAAGGAUGUGGAGUUGCGCAGACAGCCAGGAGGUUGGCUUGGAAGCAGCCAUCCUUGAAAGAGUGCGUAAUAGCUCACUGGUCAAGUGAUUCCGCGCCGACAAUGUAGCGGGGCUUAAGUUAUCCGCCGAAGCUGUGGCAAGCCCGUGAGGGUUUGGGUAGGGGAGCGUCCUGUGCGAGGUGAAGCUGCCGGGUGACCGUGUGGUGGAUUGUGCGGGAGUGAGAAUGCAGGCAUGAGUAGCGAAUGACGGGUGGAAAACCCGUCCGCCGAUUAUCCAAGGGUUCCAGGGUCAAGUUAAUCUGCCCUGGGUGAGUCGGGACCUAAGGCGAGGCCGACAGGCGUAGUCGAUGGAUAACCAGUUGAUAUUCUGGUACCGGCUUGUCACCGUCCGUGUCGAGGUGUGUGAUGCUAAGCGUGCGAGCCUGCCUCCGCGACAUCGUUGAUGUGGUGGUGGUGUGGUGAGUGUGUGAACCGAUCAUGUAGUAGGCAAGCUGCGGAGGGACGCAGGGAGGUAGCUCAUCCCCGGCGAUGGUUGUCCGGGGCUAAAUGUGUGGACCGUCUGGUAGGUAAAUCCGCCAGGGUUGUGGUUGAGGCAUGAUGGCGAGCCCACAGGAAGUGGGUGAGUGAGUGAUCCUGUACUGUCGAGAAAAUCUUCGUGAGCGAGGUGGCUGGUCCGCCCGUACCCUAAACCGACACUGGUGGAUAGGUAGAGUAUACCGAGGCGAUCGAGAUCAUCAUGGUGAAGGAACUCGGCAAAAUGCCCCCGUAACUUCGGGAUAAGGGGGACCUGAACCGUCAAGGCUUUUACAGUUGGUAGCGGUGAGGGGCGCAGAGACCAGGGGGAAACGACUGUUUACCAAAAACACAGGUCCGUGCGAAGUCGUAAGACGAUGUAUACGGACUGACUCCUGCCCGGUGCUGGAAGGUUAAGGGGAACUGUUAGCGUUGGCGAAGCGGUGAACUUAAGCCCCAGUAAACGGCGGUGGUAACUAUAACCAUCCUAAGGUAGCGAAAUUCCUUGUCGGGUAAGUUCCGACCUGCACGAAUGGAGUAACGAUUUCCCUACUGUCUCCACCAUGAACUCGGUGAAAUUGCAUUACGAGUAAAGAUGCUCGUUACGCGCAGCAGGACGGAAAGACCCCGGGACCUUUACUAUAGUUUGGUAUUGGUGAUUGGGACGACUUGUGUAGGAUAGGUGGGAGACUGUGAAACGGCCACGCCAGUGGUUGUGGAGUCAUUGUUGAAAUACCACUCUGGUCGUUCUGGUUAUCUAACUUUGGGCCGUGAUCCGGUUCAGGGACAGUGCCUGAUGGGUAGUUUGACUGGGGCGGUCGCCUCCUAAAAGGUAACGGAGGCGCCCAAAGGUUCCC